rnacentral:rRNA from 1 species
AUUGAACGCUGGCGGCAGGCCUAACACAUGCAAGUCGAACGAGAGGCGGACGGGUGAGUAAUGUCUGGGAAACUGCCUGACGGAGGGGGAUAACUACUGGAAACGGUAGCUAAUACCGCAUACCAUCAGAUGUGCCGAGAUGGGAUUAGGUGGUUGGUGGGCUAACGGCUCACCAAGGCGACGAUCCCUAGCUGGGCUGAGAGGAUGACCAGCCACACUGGAACUGAGACACGGUCCAGACUCCUACGGGAGGCAGCAGUGGGGAAUAUUGCACAAUGGGCGCAAGCCUGAUGCAGCCAUGCCGCGUGUAUGAAGAAGGCCUUCGGGUUGUAAAGUUCUUUCAGCGGGGAGGCGUUACCCGCAGAGGAAGCACCGGCUAACUCCGUGCCAGCAGCCGCGGUAAUAC